GAUGCCUCAUUUUUAUUUAUGUUUUCAUUGAGCAUAUUUAAUUUUUAGUUUGUAUAUUUAAUAACACCUUGUUGCGUGUUAUUCUAUGGUUUUAAUAAAUGUGUUGUCAUUUCAUUUUUAUUACUACUAACAUGAUUUUUUAGUGAUAAGUGAUAAUGUAUUUUAACGUUAUAUAUUAUAUUUUAUCAUAUAUUUUCUAACUCUUCGUGAUGGCACUUUUUGUAGAAUCAUUUUAAUUAGAUAAUAGGUUUAAAGAUGUAAAUAAAACUGUGUAUGUUGUAGAUUUAGACUUUUUAGUUUAACUGAGCACUAUAAUUUAUGAAAAUUAUAUUAUGAUUUUAUUUUGCUAAAUCUUUCUUUCUUUGUAUAUUUUUUGUUUUAUUUUGUAUUUUUACAAUUUUAUUGCCUUAUUCUUUAACUGCAGAGAAUUGCGAUUUCUAAUUUUUGUUCAUAUACCUGAAAAGUCUCCGCUUGAUUUUUGUUUGUUUUCAUUCUCCAAUUACAAUGUACCGUUCGAUCGUUUUUUUUGGAUCAAACUACUAAUAUCAUCAGAUAGAAAAGCUUAAACUCCAAGAAUGAAGUGAGUAUUUAUGCUAGAGAAAACUGAUUUAGCCACUAAUAUAGUGAGAUAUUAUAAUAUUAGAAUGUAAGGAAACUCUUCUCGGUUGUCUUACGCUGGACAUAAUUAAGUUGUUGUCAAUUGAUUCUAUAUUUGUGAUAAUUAGAAAUACAUUUUUAUGUCUUCCUUACAUCAUCGUUAAUUGGUUUUCUGUUCGACCAUUUCUAAUAUAUUCAGAGUAAUAUAAUAUUAGAUGUUUAUUAUCACAUUUCAAUUAGGAAUGCACAGAAUAAGAAAAGUUCAAGGUGAGACCACUUUACAAUUUUGUCUUCAUAUCUAUAUAAAGUUAGUUUAUAGAUUACUCUAUUUGUUUCAAAAUGUAAUCAGUUUUAAUUAAAAUCUGUAAUAUUUAAAAGUUAUUACUUUAGAAAACUGUCAUUUAAUAUAUAAAUUUGAUCAAUUACAUAAUAAUUUACAUAAUUUAAUUGGCCACACAAUAUCCAAUAAAUAUAAAGUUACAUUGAAAUAUAAAAACAAUUUAUAUAGUAAAACAAAAAAUACUUUUAAACCAUUAUAUUAUAAAGCAAAGAGAAUAUUAAAAUUAUAUUGAAACAUUAGAAUAGUAAAAAUCAGAAAAGCUGAAAUCUCAAUGUCGAUCAUCUACGUCGGCCAUGUCUUAGACCAUCUCCAAUGUAUUCCUCUAUUAUUUUUCUAAAAUAGAAGAAUUUCAUAAUAGAGAUGGAUUUGUCUCCGAUAUAUUUUUAUAUUUUCUCUCCUAAAAGAAUAUUUUUGAUAUAUUCUUUUCUAAGUUUACAAAUAAUAUUUUUUAUUUGUGAAAGUUGAAAACCAACCCAAUUUAUUUUAGUAUUUUAUAAAAUUAUGAUAUUAUUUACACUAAAUAUUUAUUUACAAACUAUUAUGUAAAUAAAAAUUAUAAUUAUAUUUAUGUAAAUAAUAUAUUU